CCUACGGGGUGCAGCAGUGGGGAAUAUUGGACAAUGGGCGAAAGCCUGAUCCAGCCAUGCCGCGUGUGUGAAGAAGGCCUUCGGGUUGUAAAGCACUUUCAGUGGGGAAGAAAGCCUUGGGGCUAAUACCCUCGAGGAAGGACAUCACCCACAGAAGAAGCACCGGCUAACUCCGUGCCAGCAGCCGCGGUAAUACGGAGGGUGCGAGCGUUAAUCGGAAUUACUGGGCGUAAAGCGCGCGUAGGCGGUCUGAUAAGCCGGUUGUGAAAGCCCCGGGCUCAACCUGGGAACGGCAUCCGGAACUGUCAGGCUAGAGGGCAGGAGAGGAAGGUAGAAUUCCCGGUGUAGCGGUGAAAUGCGUAGAGAUCGGGAGGAAUACCAGUGGCGAAGGCGGCCUUCUGGACUGACACUGACGCUGAGGUGCGAAAGCGUGGGUAGCAAACAGGAUUAGAUACCCCAGUAGUC
rnacentral:rRNA from 1 species